rnacentral:rRNA from 1 species
GAUGAACGCUGGCGGCGUGCUUAACACAUGCAAGUCGAACGAAGCACUUUAUUUGAUUUCCUUCGGGACUGAUUAUUUUGUGACUGAGUGGCGGACGGGUGAGUAACGCGUGGGUAACCUGCCUUGUACAGGGGGAUAACAGUUGGAAACGGCUUCUAAUACCGCAUAAGCGCACGGCAUCGCAUGAUGCAGUGUGAAAAACUCCGGUGGUAUAAGAUGGACCCGCGUUGGAUUAUCUAGUUGGUGAGGUAACGGCCCACCAAGGCGACGAUCCAUAGCCGACCUGAGAGGGUGACCGGCCACAUUGGGACUGAGACACGGCCCAAACUCCUACGGGAGGCAGCAGUGGGGAAUAUUGCUCAAUGGGCGAAAGCCUGAUGCAGCGACGCCGCGUGAGCGAAGAAGUAUUUCGGUAUGUAAAGCUCUAUCAGCAGGGAAGAUAAUGACGGUACCUGACUAAGAAGCACCGGCUAAAUACGUG